GCCCGCGUGGCGGAAUUGGUAGACGCUGCGGACUUAAAAUCCGUUGCCCUUUGGGCAUGUCGGUUCGACCCCGACCGUGGGUACCA
rnacentral:tRNA from 1 species